GAUGAACGCUGGCGGCGUGCCUAACACAUGCAAGUCGAACGGGAACCCUUGGAUUCGUCUGAGGGGGAGAGUGGCGAACGGGUGAGUAACACGUAGGUGACCUGCCCCAAAGAGGGGAAUAACCACUGGAAACGGUGGCUAAUACCCCAUGUGCUCGGUGGUUCGUUCCAUCGAGGAAAGCUCCGGCGCUUUGGGAGGGGCCUGCGGCCCAUCAGGUAGUUGGUAGGGUAAUGGCCUACCAAGCCGAUGACGGGUAGGGGGCGUGAGAGCGUGAUCCCCCACACUGGCACUGAGAUACGGGCCAGACUCCUACGGGAGGCAGCAGUGAGGAAUAUUGCCCAAUGGACGAAAGUCUGAGGCAGCAACGCCGCGUGGGCGAUGAAGGCCUUCGGGUUGUAAAGCCCUUUUCUGGGGGACGAGAGAGGACGGUACCUCAGGAAUAAGUCACGGCUAACUACGUG
rnacentral:rRNA from 1 species